GAUGAACGCUGGCGGCGUGCCUAAUACAUGCAAGUCGAGCGAACGGACGAGAAGCUUGCUUCUUUGAUGUUAGCGGCGGACGGGUGAGUAACACGGGGAUAACCUACCUAUAAGACUGGGAUAACUUCGGGAAACCGGAGCUAAUACCGGAUGAUAUUUUGAACCGCAUGGUUCCAAAGUGAAAGACGGUCUUGCUGUCACUUAUAGAUGGAUCCGCGCUGCAUUAGCUAGUUGGUAAGGUAACGGCUUACCAAGGCAACGAUGCAUAGCCGACCUGAGAGGGUGAUCGGCCACACUGGAACUGAGACACGGUCCAGACUCCUACGGGAGGCAGCAGUAGGGAAUCUUCCGCAAUGGGCGAAAGCCUGACGGAGCAACGCCGCGUGAGUGAUGAAGGUCUUCGGAUCGUAAAACUCUGUUAUUAGGGAAGAACAUAUGUGUAAGUAACUGUGCACAUCUUGACGGUACCUAAUCAGAAAGCCACGGCUAACUACGUG
rnacentral:rRNA from 1 species